rnacentral:rRNA from 1 species
ACCUAGUUCGUUAAACUUUUGGGCGUACCCCGAGUCCGGAGUUAAUUUUAACUUAACCAAUGUUAAUCAAUCAGUUAGACUGUUUCUUUCGUCCGGUCUCCGAAAACCGGUCCAAAGACACAAUGUUUUGACCAAGGGCCGCAACGCAACGUCCUUCAUCUGUUCCAAACGGGAGGUGGGGGAGAAUGCUUUCCAAGGCCUUUCGACCCAAGGGGGGUGAUCAGGGAGGGGGGACCCCUAUUCGAGGCGGGUCUUUUCGGGCGGGUUCGGGUGGCAACCAGCAACCCAGCGUGGGGGGGCCGCCCACGGUAACAGUUUGUGCAACGGACCCUCUUGUCACCCCCAAAGCCGACCCGCGGACGAAAAAGGGGAACCCCCCCUCCCUUCCCCUUUACCAAGCGCGUUUUUUUAAAAAAAAAAUUUAUAUUCUCCCCCCCCCCCCUCUACACACGCCCGUCGCUACUACCGAUGGAAUGGCUCGGUGAGGCUUCGGACUGGCUCCAGGGGGUGGGCAACGACCCCCCAGAGCCGGAAAGUUGGUCAAACCCGGUCAUUUAGAGGAAGUAAAAGUCGUAACAAGGUUUCCGUAGGUGAACCUGCGGAAGGAUCAUUACCGAGUGCGGGCCCUCUGGGUCCAACCUCCCAUCCGUGUCUAUCUGUACCCUGUUGCUUCGGCGUGGCCACGGCCCGCCGAAGACUAACAUUUGAACACUGUCUGAAGUUUGCAGUCUGAGUUUUUAGUUAAACAAUAAUUAAAACUUUCAACAACGGAUCUCUUGGUUCCGGCAUCGAUGAAGAACGCAGCGAAAUGCGAUAAUUAAUGUGAAUUGCAGAAUUCAGUGAAUCAUCGAGUCUUUGAACGCACAUUGCGCCCCCUGGUAUUCCGGGGGGCAUGCCUGUCCGAGCGUCAUUGCUGCCCUCAAGCACGGCUUGUGUGUUGGGCUUCCGUCCCUGGUAACGGGGACGGGCCCAAAAGGCAGUGGCGGCACCAUGUCUGGUCCUCGAGCGUAUGGGGCUUUGUCACCCGCUCCCGUAGGUCCAGCUGGCAGCUAGCCUCGCAACCAAUCUUUAACCAGGGUGACCUCGGAUCAGGUAGGAACGGUGUAC